rnacentral:rRNA from 1 species
AUGGGGGGAGGCGCUAUGGAGGUGGACCUGACCCACGGCGCGGUGGCGGCGAUGUCGCGGCUGGCGCGAGGCCUGCGCCCGGUGCUGCAGGUGGUGGGCGCCCCCGCCUCGGCGGGCGGCACGGAUCGGUACCGCUUCCUGCUCUCCGACGGCGUGCACUCCCAGGAGGGGAUCCUCGUCCCCUCCCUUGACAGCCUCGUCAGGACCGGCCGCCUCCGCGACGGCACCGUCAUACGCGUCCUCGACUACGUCUGCAACUCCGUCUGCGGCCGAAGGGUCAUCAUUGUUAUCCAACUUGAAGUGGUGCAAACUGAGUGCACACUGAUCGGGAGUCCUUCAAGUUAUCAGGUCAAUGCUGCUCAACCAAAUAUCAGAUCUGGUAGUCUAGGCAUCCAUGGGUCAAGGGCUGAGCAAGGUGUUACUGACAUGGCAUUUUCUCCUGCUCAAGGCCUCUUGCGCUCUUCUAUUGCCGCAAGGGCAGAAAAUGCUGUGAACAAUCUGCCGCUCAGUGGACUUAAUAGUUCAGUGAUAAAGCAAAACACAAUAAAAGCCAAGAUGCAGCAGCUUUCACUGAACUCUCAUCAAGGGAAAAUGCCUGCAGUUCGUCCCAGUGGUCAGGGCUUUGGCCCAUGCCCUGCAGAGCUUUCGUGUCAGCAGCCACCUCCAGUAUAUGUGAAUAGAGGAUCUGUCGCUAACAAUGGCACUCCUUAUGUCACCCCUAUUGCUGCCUUGAACCCAUACCAAGGUAGAUGGACAAUCAAGGGUAGGGUCACUGCAAAAACUGAUAACUUGCACGGGAGAGCCUUAUCCUUUGAUCUCCUUGAUGCACAGGGUGGAGAAAUUCGUGCAACAUGCUUUGGUUCGAUGGUUGCUCAAUUCUCUGACCAACUUGUUGUUGGAAAUGUGUACUUCAUAUCUGGAGGAUUGUUGAAACCAGCACACAAGUUGUUUAACCCUUUAAACAAUGCGUAUGAACUGAUUUUGGAUAGUUCAACAUCUAUAGAAAAUUGUUGCAGUGACGACAGCGGCAUCCCUUGGCAGCAAUACAAUUUCCAACCGAUCAGUGAAAUAGUAAAUAUGGACAAUGGAGCUAUGGUUGACUUGCUUGGGAUUGUUACAUCAGUUAGCCCUUCUGUUAUGAUAACGCGGAAGGAUGGCACAGAAACCCAGAAGAAAACCCUUCAACUGAAGGACAUGUCUGGUUGCAGUGUGGAAAUAACCUUAUGGGGAAAUGUCUGUAAUGCUGAAGGUCAGCUGCUGCACUCGAUGUGCAUUUCUGGUUCUAAUCCUAUACUUGCCUUGAAAGGUGGCCGCAUCUGUGAAUUCAACGGCAAAUCUGUGGCCACAAUCAGCUCAAGCUUGAUAAAAAUAAAUCCAGACUUGCCUGAUGCAGAAAAGCUGAUGCAGUGGUACAUAACUGAAGGGAAAUUAGCGGUUUGCACUUCUUUAUCUCAGGAAAUCUCAAGCAUGGGCAAGAUGUAUUCCCGAAAAACAGUUGCACAGAUCAAGGACGAGAACUUGGGGCGAUCAGAUCAGCCAGAUUGGGUCACUGUUGAAGCUACAAUUUCACACAUCAACACCGAUAAAUUUUCUUAUCCAGCUUGCACAAGGGAGGUUAAUGGUAAGCGCUGCAACAGAAAGGUAACAAAUAAUGGUGAUGGGAUGUGGCAUUGUCCCAAAUGCCAGCAGAGCUCUCAAAAUUGUGAGCAUCGCUACUUGUUUCAGUGUAAGAUCCAGGAUUACACCGGGACUACCAAUGCUACUGCAUUCCAAGAAGCUGGCCAGGAAAUAAUUGGCCUCUCAGCGGAAGAGCUUUUCAUGAUAAAAAAUGUGGAUCUAGAUGACGCACGAUUCGCAGGAAUAAUACAUGGGACCUGUUAUCAGCAAUUUCUGUUGAAGCUGAAAGUCAAGGAAGAAACCUUUGGUGACGAGGCGUGUAUGAAGGUCAGCAUCAUGAAGGCUGAAAGAUUGGGCCACACAUCAAAUACGAGUCGUGUCUUUGAUCUUGGAGCAUUUGAUGGCCUUUUGGCGGAUGGCCGAGGCUCAGCACCUGGUGCGAAUGGUGUUGCUACUGCUGUGAAUGCUGGUUUCACCAACUCAGAUGCCGGACGGCAAGCUAAGGUAUCUGGCGGGAUGCCUAAUGCAGCACCAUCAGCAGCACGAUAUGCCUGCAGUACUUGUGGCUCCACUGGGCACAAGGUGCAGAACUGCCCUGCAGCCAUGGAUAUCCAGCUACCAGCAACAGGUUGGGGCUUCACGCCGAGUUCAUAUGGCUCUUCUGCAUCCAAUGCUCGCCGGUGCUGCAAGUGCGAUCAGCCUGGGCACUGGGCUAGAGACUGCCCAUGGCAGGCCACCUCGUACGGCUCUUCUGCAUCCAAAGCUCACCUGUGCAGCAAAUGCAAUCAGCCUGGGCACUGGUCUAGAGACUGUGCGGUGCAGGCCGCCUUACACGGCUCUUCAGCUGGAAACGGCAACGGCAGCCUUGGUUUCUGCUUCAGAUGUAAUCAGUUUGGGCACUGUCCCAGUGACUGCCCAGCCCCCUACUCUUCUGCAGGUGGUAACGGCGGGCGCGGGUGGUCUGGGCUUCAAAAAUAA